CUCACGACACUCGUAGCUCACCUUCUCCCUUCCCGAACCCUAGGCAGAAACCCUAGGGUACUCACAAAAGACCCUGCGCCCUUUCUCUUCUUUUUUUCUUUUCUUUUCUUUUCUUUUCUCACACAGAAGGCCUUUCUCAUGCCACUCUUUUUCUAUCAGAUCAGAUAUCGCAUGCCCCACCUUCUCUUUCUUUUUAAAAUGGUGCA
rnacentral:lncRNA from 1 species